rnacentral:rRNA from 1 species
UACGUAGGGGGCUAGCGUUGUCCGGAAUCAUUGGGCGUAAAGCGCACGUAGGCGGAUCCUUAAGUCGGGGGUGAAAUCCUGGAGCUCAACUCCAGAACUGCCUUCGAUACUGAGGAUCUCGAGUCCGGGAGAGGUGAGUGGAACUGCGAGUGUAGAGGUGAAAUUCGUAGAUAUUCGCAAGAACACCAGUGGCGAAGGCGGCUCACUGGCCCGGUACUGACGCUGAGGUGCGAAAGCGUGGGGAGCAAACAGG